rnacentral:lncRNA from 1 species
ACGGUUAGUUAGCUGGUUUGGUGAGUAGUGUUUCUUCUCAGGGGAGAUUGAGUUUUCUCGUGUCUCUAAGUUCGAAAAUAUUUUGCACCUUUAAGAACAUAUGGUGUACGGGUUUCACAUAUGUGCUACAAAAUGCUCGAAUUGUGACGUUAAGCCAAUCAAUACCUGAACUUUCCUUGCACAUAAUCUCCAACGUUCAUUCACAUUUAAGUCACUAGAUUUAUAAGAUCGUGAUGUUCACGAAAUGAAGUCGAUUGUUACCAUGGUGAUUGGCCACAUUGAUCAAACUUCCUUUUGCUUACUUGUUUCCUCGCGGCAUAUCCUUGUCUUUUCGCCUAUAGAAACUAAUGGUCUUAAUCAAAUGCUCAAACCUCUUCAAUUAAGGUUGGUGAUGUUAAGUUGGUAGGAUGAGAUAAAUCAAGAUCCAGUCGAUGAAUGGAAUUGUAUACUUCUUUCUUUUUUCUCACCCACUCGCUUGAAUCCAUGCAGAAUAGUUGGUGACUUGAAUAAAAAAAUAUACUGCCUUUUAAUAAAUGCAUGAUAUUCCAUUUAAUGUACUAAUCAUUUCCUAAUCUUUUAGUUAAGAAACAACUUAAU